GGAGAAGCGGCAGAGAGGACCAUGGGCCAGGUUUCUGGCUUGGGAGCCUCUGGAUCCCCGGGGAAGGAGAGACUAUGGGAAGAGAGACAGUUGCAGCCGCGUGGGCCGGGACAUGAUGUACUCUGUUCUGGCUGGGGUGUGCAGUUGCGGUGCCCAAGGGGAGGAUGACGACAGCUGCUCUCAAGGAGCUAGAUGUGAGGCUCUACACCUCACCCGGGCAAUCCGAACCGCCGAUGGAGCUCUGGCGGGGAGUUGUUGCCGCAUUGGAGACAGAUGGUCAUCAUCCAAGUGUGCAGCUGUGGCCAAAAAGAAGUAAAGCGUGUAUUGACGGAGAAUCAAACUAAUAGAGGCACAAACAAGAGUGAAGGGAAGAGAAGAAAAGGACUCAAGGAGCAAACACAGACACGACAAUAUGGAUAUAAGCCUUUAUUUUCUCUUCAUUCCCCUCCAGUUAUUUCCCCGCAAACAUUUUAUCCGAUGAUUCCUCUUUGGAGUCAGCUCUGAAUGCGGCUACUCUCUCCCCGGGAAUAACAGCCCUCCUUCCCGGAUGUCAUUCUCCAAAUUGAAAAGCGGCUCGCUCCGUUUUCCUUUCGGUUCAUCUGCUGGCCUCACCCAGGCUCCGCUCCACUCAGCGGGUCCUUCAGGAAACCACCGCUGCCAGCCCUUAGCAUCCAAGGCACGCCACACCGGUGGCCUUAGAGAUCUGCCACUUGCGUGUCUGCAAAGAGAAUAAAGAGCUCUGCUUUGGAAAACGUUGUUUCUGC
rnacentral:lncRNA from 1 species